rnacentral:rRNA from 1 species
UACGAAGGGUGCAAGCGUUAAUCGGAAUUACUGGGCGUAAAGCGUGCGCAGGCGGUUUUGUAAGCCAGAUGUGAAAUCCCCGGGCUUAACCUGGGAAUGGCAUUUGGGACUGCAAGGCUGGAGUGCGGCAGAGGAGACUGGAAUUCCUGGUGUAGCAGUGAAAUGCGUAGAUAAUCAGGAGGAAUACCGAUGGCGAAGGCAGGUCUCUGGGCUGACACUGACGCUCAUGCACGAAAGCGUGGGGGAGCAAACAGGAUU